GGAGGGUAUAGCUCAGUGAUAGAGCACAUGCUUUCCAUGUGUGAGGUCCUGGGUUCAAUCCCCAGUACCUCCA